AUUGAACGCUGGCGGCAUGAUUUACACAUGCAAGUCGAACGGUAACAGGCCGCAAGGUGCUGACGAGUGGCGAACGGGUGAGUAAUGCAUCGGAACGUGCCCAGUCGUGGGGGAUAACUACUCGAAAGAGUAGCUAGUACCGCAUACGAUCUAUGGAUGAAAGCGGGGGACCGUAAGGCCUCGCGUGAUUGGAGCGGCCGAUGUCAGAUUAGGUAGUUGGUGGGGUAAAGGCUCACCAAGCCAACGAUCUGUAGCUGGUCUGAGAGGACGACCAGCCACACUGGGACUGAGACACGGCCCAGACUCCUACGGGAGGCAGCAGUGGGGAAUUUUGGACAAUGGGCGCAAGCCUGAUCCAGCAAUGCCGCGUGCAGGAAGAAGGCCUUCGGGUUGUAAACUGCUUUUGUACGGAACGAAACGGCUCUGGUUAAUACCCGGGGCUAAUGACGGUACCGUAAGAAUAAGCACCGGCUAACUACGUG
rnacentral:rRNA from 1 species